GGGGAUCUGGUUUAGUGGUAUAACGUCUCAUUUGCAUUGCCGUUUCUUCACCAAAAGAGCGGCGCGAUUUGAGAAGGUCUAGGGUUCGAUUCCCUAGUUCUCCA